rnacentral:lncRNA from 1 species
GCGUACCGAGAAUACAGAAACUUCACCAGCUUUGCAACUUGUUCGAACCUCGUUCUGAAAUUGGAAUAUGACUCUAACAGAAGAGAAGUCACACGAAGUGCAUACUUCCCAGAUGAUUAGAAGACUUAGAGAGAGGCAGGUUUCGUAACAAUAUAUAUACAGUCCAAACAAUAUCAAAGCGGUAAACAGCGGCAAUUAGCACAUUAAGCUCAAACAUAUAAAAAUCUUAUAAUAAAUACAAGCCAACUAUAACAGUUAUUCUAAGCUCGAAUUCAUUCUUUUUACUACCUCGAAAGGGGUAUAGGGGGAGUUUUUCAAAUUUAAGUGACAAUCAAAACGAGAUUAUUUAAUUAAAAUUCUGACUCGCCACUUGGGAUAAUUUAUGGUGUCCCAAGUCAUCGGUUUAAAAUCCUGAAUCGAGGAAAUUUGACUCUUAUUUAUGGUCUGCUAAUACAAAAAUCCGGGUAAGAAAUUUUGUUAACCCGGGAAAAGAUGUUAGGCAUUCCUGAGUUCCGUGAUUCUAGCACGGCCGCUCAACUAUUAUUAUUGGCUCAAUUAUCUGAUUUAAUUCCACAUUUAAAACCUACGUGCCCCUUUUAACCUUUUAACCGCUUUUAAUAUUUCAGGAAAAUUCAAAUUUUUUAAAACACAUCGUAAGUCACGCUACAUGAAAUGCACUCGCGUUCAUGAUGCAUUCUAUUUAACCUUGUUGGAUAUUAAAAUCGGGUCAUAUGAAAUGUACACCCGAAUUUUUAGAAAUUAAGCAUCACAACUACGUCACGGGAACCGUACCCGUAGCUAUGACAAUUUAAUAUAGCGCGCCUAAAGCAAGCUACGAUAGAGUAUUAAAUAUGAAAAGUAUGCUAGUUUUAUGACUUAUUAGUGAUAUUCCCAUACCCACUUAUCCCUUGAGUUUUAGAAAUAAACUAGAUGAAACGGUUGACACCAUGAAUCCUUAAACAUAAUGAAAAAUUAUUUUACACAGCUAAAGCGAUUUCUUUGCCUAGAACUUUAGGAACACAUAUAAAUUAGUUUUCACUUGAAUCAUGCAAUUUAUGGAACUUCAAAAUGGACAAGAUUCAAUAACAUCUAGAUCAGUGAACUCAUAACACAACAUUAAACUCAAACAUCACCACAAAGAACAAUAGAAUAUCAAUUCAAACGAUCAAUAAGACAACGAAACAACAAUCUCCAAAACAAGGAAAAGCACUAUAUUAAGCAAAACAGCAAAAUAAGGGAGAAAUAGACCUCAACCCGCUAGAACCCAGACGGAACUCGAACCGGAAACCAAUAGACAGUACCUCGAUGUGCGACUGAAACAGACUCCUUGCAUAACGACCCCCGACAACCUUGAAGCUCGCUGGAAAACUCGGACUAAACUAGAAAGACAAAAUCAACGAUCUCCAUAACAGUGACUCGCGAUUCAGAGCUGUUUCGAGCUAUUUCACAUUGUUUCGAUGGAGGUUUCGAGCAGUGGAGCGAGGGUACAGAGCUUUACUCUAUUGUUGUGAUGUGAAGAAGAUGAUGAUAGGUGAUCUUAGCUCUUGUUCCUCGUCUCUCGUCCCUGUUGUUGUCCGUUUUUCCAACCCCUGCUUUCCCUCGUUCCUCUCAUCUCUCUCUCGUGUAUAUCUGUAGGUGUGUGUGUUUUGUGAAGGAUGUCCAUUUUAUGAAUGGAGUAGGUCAUUUGGAAGAAGGAAACUCUAAAGCUUUUGUUUGAAUAAGCCUAAUUGUUGGUUCUCUUUUUGGAGAUUGUUGCCGGCAUUCCGAUGAGCUUGGUGGUGAAGAAACGAGUUGGUGGGUCUGUUAUGAAGAAAACGUUCAGGGGGGUCGUCGAAGAAGACGAUCUUUGGGGGGGGAUCCUAGGUCUGCGGCUAUCAGCUUUUUUAGUCUACGGAUAUAUUCUUUAGGUUAGUUUUUUGUGUCCAAAAUCCAUGGAAACGGCU